rnacentral:lncRNA from 1 species
AGAAAGGAGGGCAGCGCUGGGAGAAGACAUGAAAAAUUAGAACAGGAGCUCAGAGCACUCGGGAGAGCAGGGGAAAUGACAGUUGAAAUUAGAACAGGAGCUAAGAGGAGCCAGCAGAAGGGGACGGCAGGAACUAGGAAAUUUAAGGCGGGGAGAAACAACUGAGAGAAGUGGACAGAAAAAAGAAAGCUUAGCAUAAAUAAGAAGGCCCGGGACUCCCGUGCGUCCAGUAGACCUGCUCUGCUAUGGAUCAAAACAAAUGAUUUGUCAUUCUGAAAUGACUCUGAAAGGGGGAAUGGAAUGUGCCCCAACGAUCAAUAUUAAAUUUUAUGCCUGCUGCACCUUUCAAAAGGCUCAAGAAGACAUUGAUUCAAGUAAGUGCCACAUUUUUAAAUGACCUUUGAUGAUUCACUUUAACAGUUUGAGAGCAGAAGUUUGCACCCUGAGCUGGGGAGCAGUGAGAACUGAAGUUU